GAUGCUGUGUCACAGCCCCGGGGCUUUGCUUCCUGGAGUGCGGCUGCAUUUACAGCCAGUGGCCCUUCCCUGCUCUCAGAGCCUGGCAUGACACACGUUUUCGGGCAUCUGGCUCCACGGGGGUCAGGCGGAGGUCAGGCCGGGCUGAGCCAGGGCUCUGAGUGACCACCAGCAUCCCAGAGCCGCACGGACACACCCCCAUCGCUGUCCUCUCCACUCCUGUCAAGGAGCGCUCCCAGCCACCGGGGGCUGCAAUUCCCGCUGUCCCCUCGGUGUUCUGCGGGCUCUGCCCCCUGCAGGCCCCAGGCAUCGCCCUGCUCUGCUCGCCUGGGCAGGGCUCGGGGCUCGGCUCCCGCCCUGCCACCACUGUCACCGAUGUGGGGCACGGCAGGGUGGGAGGCUGUGCCUGGCAAAGCAGCACGGAGCAGGGAGGAAUUCUGCCCCUGGAUGCCCAGUUUCCAGCUGUGAAGGGUUGUGCCUGUUUGUCACCUUUCCCUGCAGCCACAGGAGGUGGUUUUGGGGCUUUGAGAAGGUGUUCAAAUACAGCUGUGAGUGCAUCAUUCGGGGACAUGCCUGGCUGGGACAGCUGGUGAGGGUCACCCCUGUCCUUCCCUGUCCCCUGGGGUCCUGCCUGAGCCCCCAAGCCUGGGUUCUGCAUGGACCUCUGCCACCUUCCUGCUGGUCUUUGCCAGGAGGUGGCAAGCGGAGGAAAUGGCCACUUGGGCACCUUGCCAGAGCUGGGCACACCUGUGUCCUGGCUGUCCCUUCCCCUCGGGCUCCCAGUACUCCCAGUUCAGCCUUUCCCAGCAGUGGGAGGGCAGAGCUGCCCACGCAGGCGGGCUGGGCACGGCGAUGUGCCAUCUGUCGUGUCUGCUGCAGCUCCUCUGCUUUCUCCCUGCGAACCAGUUGGACCAGUGGGCCAGGAUUGGUGCCCAGCCUCGCUGCUGUGUCACCAGGAGACGAGGGGACAGGCAGGACGUGCCAGGCUCCAGCACAGACAGGGCUCUGCAGCAGCAGCCUCCAGCCUGGGAUAAGGAGAGCAGCUCCCGUGGCACAGCAGUGGGACAUGGACCCCCGGACAGGACAAGAGCCCAUCAAGGUGAUCGGGGUUGUCUUGGGCAUCGGUCUGGCCCUGCUGGUCCUGG
rnacentral:lncRNA from 1 species